UAACGAUCAUGCCGUGAAGCAAUGGCCAAGUUGUUUCGGCCUGGAAGAAAAUUAUAAUGAUAUAGAGAAUAUUAUACCUAUAUUGGAAAUUACGUGUUCAAUUUCUUUCACCGCUGUUCAAAUAAGUAUGACAGGAUGAUAUUUAUGGAAUAAUCUACAAAACGAUUGGCUAUAACGUUAAUCGGAAAUGUAAAUAUAAUAUUUCUAUUUAAACUGGAUGGGAUAUUCGGAAUCCACAAACUGCGAGAAGAAUUGAUACAGAAAUGAAGUUACUAUUGCCGUUUGUUUUCGCUUUCUUACUCUUAGUGUUUCAAGCUUCAACAAUUAAAGAACAACAAUAUCCUUCAGAUGGGGCUAUUCAGGAAGGAGAAUAUGAAAAUCCAUUUCGGAAAUUUAUCAAUGAAGAGUCCGUUUUGAAAUUUUUUGAGAGAACACUUGGAAUACCUCCACGGGGUUAUAUGUUACCUUCAGAG
rnacentral:lncRNA from 1 species